rnacentral:rRNA from 1 species
GCGGCAACAGCUCAAAUUUGAAAUCUGGCGUCUUUGGCGUCCGAGUGUAAUUUGCAGAGGGCGCUUUGGCAUUGGCAGCGGUCCAAGUUCCUUGGAACAGGACGUCACAGAGGGUGAGAAUCCCGUACGUGGUCGCUAGCCUUUACCGUGUAAAGCCCCUUCGACGAGUCGAGUUGUUUGGGAAUGCAGCUCUAAAUGGGAGGUAAAUUUCUUCUAAAGCUAAAUACUGGCCAGAGACCGAUAGCGCACAAGUAGAGUGAUCGAAAGAUGAAAAGCACUUUGGAAAGAGAGUUAAAAAGCACGUGAAAUUGUUGAAAGGGAAGCGCUUGCAGCCAGACUUGCCUGUAGUUGCUCAUCCGGGUUUUUACCCGGUGCACUCUUCUAUAGGCAGGCCAGCAUCAGUUUGGGCGGUUGGAUAAAGGUCUCUGUCAUGUACCUCUCUUCGGGGAGAACUUAUAGGGGAGACGACAUGCAACCAGCCUGGACUGAGGUCCGCGCAUCUGCUAGGAUGCUGGCGUAAUGGCUGUAAGCGGCCCGUCUUGAAACACGGACCAAGGAGUCUAACAUCUAUGCGAGUGUUUGGGUGUCAAGCCCGAGCGCGUAAUGAAAGUGAACGGAGGUGGGAACCUUUCGGGGUGCACCAUCGACCGAUCCUGAUGUCUUCGGAUGGAUUUGAGUAAGAGCAUAGCUGUUGGGACCCGAAAGAUGGUGAACUAUGCUUGAAUAGGGUGAAGCCAGAGGAAACUCUGGUGGAGGCUCGCAGCGGUUCUGACGUGCAAAUCGAUCGU